rnacentral:rRNA from 1 species
GCUUGUCUCAAAGAUUAAGCCAUGCAUGUCUAAGUAUAAGCACCCUUAUACUGCGAAACUGCGUACAGCUCAUUAUAUCAGCAAUUAUUUAUUUGAAGGUCACCUAUUACAUGGAUAACCGUGGUAAUUCUAGAGCUAAUACAUGCGAAAAGUCGGCGCAAGUCGAUGUAUUUAUUAGAUAACAGACCAAUAUUCCUCGUGUCUAUUGUGGUGACUCAUAGUAACUGAUCGGAUCGCACGGGCUUGCCCGCGACAAACCAUUCAAGUUUCUGCCCCAUCAGCUUUCGAUGGUAGUGUAUUGGACUACCAUGGCUUUUACGGGUAACGGAGGAUUAGGGUUCGAUUCCGGAGAGGGAGCCUGAGAAACGGCUACCACAUCUAAGGAAGGCAGCAGG